rnacentral:tRNA from 1 species
GGGCCGGUCGUUCAAACGGUAUAAGGACGCCGGGCUUCCACGCCGGGAAAUCUAGGUUCGAGUCCUAGCAGGUCCGCCA